GAAAGCAGACUAGACUAUUUUGGGCACGGCAUGCUGUAACGAAUGGAAAAAGAGAAAUCAGAGACAGGCAGUUUUCCUCUGCCAUCUGAACGGUAAUAUGGAUGUGUCAUGCUGAAAUGAAGAGCGUGAGUUAGACGGAGGGGAACUGCUCUUGCUGCUGCAUCAAAAUUGAAGGAGGAGGAGGCUGUGGGUGUAGAGAAAUCAGUUACAGGAGAAAAUGCUCCGACCUGUUAAGUAAUCUUCAAACUCCUCACAAAUCCAAACCCCAAUCACCCCUCCCAGGGAGGAAGCAAAGUGUCUGAAGUCCUUCCUUUGAAAAAAAAUGUGAGCUUGUGUCUUUGGAAAAUAUGACAUCUUUCCAGGAUCACGAGUGAUUUUUAAUAAAAUUUACACUUGAAGAAUGGAAUUUUUCUCUAAGCCAAGAAAGGAGGCAAACCUAAGAGGAAAGCAUUUCACUCCACCAACACAUGGAUCUAAGCUCUGUGAGAGCAGGACUUUGUCUCAUUCAUCUCUGCCUCUCUGGCACUGACAGCAGUGUCCAGCAUAAUGCAGACUCAACCAAUAGUUGUUGAAUGAAUAAAUGAAUGUUUACCACAUAAAGACAAAUAUAUAUAUUUUCUUUUCUGUUACUUUGAAUAUUUUAUAAACAAAGAGUUCGGAUCUAAUAGACAGAGAAAAUUCUCAAUCUAUUUUCCCCCAUAGACCUAAGAGAUAUGAUGAACCUACAUUAAUGAUGUUUAAUUACAGGAGCAAUAAGACUCAG
rnacentral:lncRNA from 1 species